UAUUUGAGGCUAGAUUACAUCUCUAAUGAGAAGGAUCCUGCGAGUCUGUUCAUACCGAGGCCGGCCCGAGUGCGCGAGCGGACAUGACGUGUGGCUGUCGUAAAAACCCUAUUUGUAAACAACCAGUCCUUUAACUCAGCGCUGCGUCAUAAACACGGAGCGCUUGGAAGACCACGAUGUCAUCUUCCUUCUGUCAGGAGGAUCAAAGUGAAGCUACAGGAGUUUCAUUAACGUCAACAACUUGGACCGAACACUUUGUUUUGCUUGAUGAAGAUCAGGAAGGGCAGCCUGGAGAGAAAGAGAAGCCGGGUUGAGCCCACUACCAUCAUCCACGUACCACGAGGAAGAUGAGGGAGAGAAAUGAUCCUACCAUUAAAGAGACUGUGAAAAGAACGUUGAGAACAUCACCACUCUACAGGAAGACACAGUCCAGUAAUGGGUGUCAGAAGUUCAGUAGUGAACGACAGAAACAAACAAUCAAAAUUACCUGCAGAAAGCCCUUGAUGGACGCUUCAGCUGCAUCGUCAGACUGGUGAGACAGCAAGAUGCCAACUUUAACGCCAAUUUAUUUGUGUAACAUUCUGUGACCAAAUGCAUAGAUAACUUUUUGUAGAUUGUAAAAAAAGA